rnacentral:tRNA from 1 species
GCCUGCUUAGCUCAAAGGUCAAAGCACCGCACUUGNAANG